rnacentral:rRNA from 1 species
UACGGAGGGUGCAAGCGUUAUCCGGAUUCACUGGGUUUAAAGGGUGCGUAGGCGGGUAAGUAAGUCAGUGGUGAAAUCUCCGGGCUUAACUCGGAAACUGCCGUUGAUACUAUUUAUCUUGAAUAUCAUGGAGGUAAGCGGAAUAUGUCAUGUAGCGGUGAAAAUGCUUAGAUAUGACAUAGAACACCGAUAGCGAAGGCAGCUUACUACAUGUUAAUUGACGCUGAGGCACGAAAGCGUGGGGGAGCAAACAGG